rnacentral:rRNA from 1 species
AUAGAUUUUAUUUAUUAAUUUUAUUUAUUUAUUUAAUUUAUUUAAUAAAAAUAAUUUUAAAAUUUUAAGUUUAAGUAUUUUAUAAAGAAAAAAUAAUUUUAAUUAUAGUUUAUUUGUAUUGUGAAAGAAAAUUGAAAUAAUUUGAAAAAUUUUUAUUUUAAAAGAAAAUUUAAUUUAUUGUACCUUGUGUAUCAGGGUUUAUUAAAUAAAAAAUUAUUAUAUUAAUUUUUCUCGAAUUUUAAAGAUUUAAUUAUAUAUAAAAGUUACUGUGGAAUAAUUAUUUUUAAUAUAUAAUUAGAAAUGAAAUGUUAAUCGUUUUAAAAUAUAUCUAGUUUUUUAAGAAAUAAAUUUAAUUUAGAUUUAUAAAUUUAAAUUAUUUAAUUAUUUUAAAUAAUUUAUUUUAUAAAAUUAAUAUUUUAAGGGAUUAGCUUUAAAAUAAAUUUUUAAAUUUUAAAUUAAUUAUUUAAUAAAUAUAAGCUUAAAAAUAGCUAUUAUUAAUAAAUUUGUUAUAAUUUAUUUUAAAAAUUUAAUUAUUUAAUAUAAAAUUAAAUUAUUUAUUAAAAUAUAAAUUUUAAUAAUAAAAAUUUAUAAAUUAUGAUAAAAUUAGUAUAUAAAAUUUUUAUAAAUAAUUAUUUAUGAAAGGUUUAAAUAAGGAAUUCGGCAAAAUAUAUAUUCACCUGUUUAUCAAAAACAUGUCUUUUUGAAUUAAAUUUAAAGUCUAACCUGCCCACUGAUAUAAAUUAAAGGGCCGCAGUAUUUUGACUGUGCGAAGGUAGCAUAAUCACUAGUCUUUUAAUUGGAGGCUUGUAUGAAUGGUUGAAUGAGAUAUAUACUGUCUUUUUUAAAAUUAUAUAGAAUUUUAUUUUUUAGUUAAAAAGCUAAAAUAAAAUUAAAGGACGAGAAGACCCUAUAGAUCUUUAUUUUUGUUAUUUAUAAAUUAAAAAGAAUUUUAAAAUUUAUAAUUUAAUAAAAAAUUUUAUUGGGGUGAUAUUAAAAUUUAAAAAACUUUUAAAAUUUAUUAACAUUAAUAUAUGAAUAAAUGAUCCAGUUUUAUUGAUUAAAAAUUUAAGUUACCUUAGGGAUAACAGCGUAAUUUUUUUUUAGAGGUCAUAUCGACAAAAAAGAUUGCGACCUCGAUGUUGGAUUAAGAGUUAUUUUUAGGUGUAGAAGUUUAAAGUUUAGGUCUGUUCGACCUUUGAAUUCUUACAUGAUCUGAGUUCAAACCGGCGUAAGCCAGGUUGGUUUCUAUCCUUAAUUAAUUAUUAUAUUAUAGUACGAAAGGACCUAAUAUAAAAAAUAUAGAUUUUAAUAAUAUGAUUAAUAUUAAUAUUAGAUA